GAUGAACGCUGGCGGCGUGCCUAACACAUGCAAGUCGAGCGAAGCAUUUUAAAGGAAGUUUUCGGAUGGAAUUUGAAAUGACUGAGCGGGCGACGGGUGAAGGUAACGCGUGGGUAACCUGCCUCAUACAGGGGGAUAACAGUUAGAAAUGACUGCUAAUACCGCAUAAGCGCACAGUACCGCAUGGUACGGUGUGAAAACUACCGGUGGUGUGAGAUGGAUCCGCGUCUGAUUAGCCAGUUGGCGGGGUAACGCCCACCAAAGCGACGAUCAGUAGCCGACCUGAGAGGGUGACCGGCCACAUUGGGACUGAGACACGGCCCAA
rnacentral:rRNA from 1 species